rnacentral:rRNA from 1 species
AUACGGAGGGUGCAAGCGUUAAUCGGAAUCACUGGGCGUAAAGCGCACGUAGGCGGUGCCGUAAGUCGGAUGUGAAAGCCCUCGGCUCAACCGGGGAACUGCAUUCGAUACUGCGGUGCUUGAGUGUCGGAGAGGGUGGCGGAAUUCCAGGUGUAGGAGUGAAAUCCGUAGAUAUCUGGAGGAACACCAGUGGCGAAGGCGGCCACCUGGCCGACAACUGACGCUGAGGUGCGAAAGCGUGGGGAUC